rnacentral:rRNA from 1 species
GGGCAACAGCCCAGAUCGUCAGCUAAGGUCCCUAAAUGUAAGUUAAGUGGUAAAGGAUGUGGGAUUGCACAGACAACCAGGAUGUUGGCUUAGAAGCAGCCACUCAUUCAAAGAGUGCGUAAUAGCUCACUGGUCGAGUGAUCCUGCGCCGAAGAUUUCCGGGGCUAAAACUUACUACCGAAGCUACGGCAUCAGUAAUGAUGGGUAGGGGAGCUUCCCAUACGGGUUGAAGCAUGACCGUAAGGACAUGUGGACAGUAUGGGAGUGAGAAUGUUGGCAUGAGUAGCGAGAUGUGGGUGAGAAUCCCACAGGCCGUAAACCCAAGGUUUCCAGGGGAAGGUUCGUCCGCCCUGGGUUAGUCGGGACCUAAGCUGAGGCCGAAAGGCGUAGGUGAUGGACAACAGGUUGAUAUUCCUGUACUACCGAUAACCGUUUGAGAGAAGGGAUGACACAGUAGGAUAAGCUAAGCACACUGUUGGUUAUGUGUGCCCAAGCAUUGAGGCAGUCAAAGUAGGCAAAUCCGCUUUGAUAAUGCUGGGAUGUGAUGGGGAGCGAAAUUUAGUAGCGAAGUAGCUGAUUUCACACUGUCAAGAAAAGUCUCUAUCGAGGUUAAAGGUACCCGUACCGCAAACCGACACAGGUGGGUGAGGAGAGUAUCCUAAGGCCAGCGAGAGAACUGUUGUUAAGGAACUCGGCAAAAUGACCCCGUAACUUAGGGAUAAGGGGUGCCACCAUCAGGUGGCCGCAGAGAAUAGGCCCAAGCGACUGUUUACCAAAAACAUAGGUUUCUGCUAAGUCGCAAGACGAUGUAUAGG